CUGUGAGAUCACUGAAGGAGAAGCCAGGGAAGAGAUCUGGUCAUCUGUUAAUUACUUAUUCUUUAUUUCUACUCUUUGGAACUACGGAAGGAACCAACGCAUUAGGCAAAGUAUUCUGUGAUUAAAAGAUUUGAAAGGUGAAUUUGGACCGGAGGUCCUGACCCAGUCUGCCAUUCUAAGCUGUGCUCCUGACAGACGACAAGCAGGAAUAGUGGCCCGAAAACAUCCGUCAGACACCACCCGUGGUACAGUGGUUCAGGACCCAAAGUGGUUCAGUCCAGGACAGAGUUUGGAGACAUACUGCCUGGGGUCGGAUCCUGGCUCCAGCACCCACAGCUGGGGGCUCAGAAGUCCCACGCGGUCUUAUGAAAUGAAAAUGUCUCCUGCCAUUUUAAUAAGUAAGAAAUAUCACAGCCAUCCGCGAUCACUGGCCUCCAAACAUGAAUGAGGGCUCCCAAAACUGCAAUCCAACGGAUGCUGCCCCUCCCCAACGGUGAUGGCUGAGGAGCUGGGGGAAUGAAUGCAAGAAGCAGCCACCUGCU